rnacentral:rRNA from 1 species
AGAGUUUGAUCCUGGCUCAGGAUGAACGCUAGCGGCAGGCUUAAUACAUGCAAGGCGAAGGGGCAGCAAUGUCACUGUCGUACGGGUGCGUAACGCGUAUGCAACCUACCUAUCGACUGGGGGAUAGCCCGGGGAAACCCGGAUUAAUACCGCAUAAUACAUUUGUAUAGCAUUAUAUGGAUUGUUAAAGAUUUAUUGGUGAUAGAUGGGCAUGCGUUCGAUUAGCUAGUUGGUAUGGGUAACGGCCUACCAAGGCGACGAUCGAUAGGGGAGCUGAGAGGUUGAUCCCCCACACGGGCACUGAGAUACGGGCCCGACUCCUACGGGAGGCAGCAGUAGGGAAUAUUGGGCAAUGGAUGCAAGUCUAACCCAGCCAUGCCGCGUGCCGGAUGAAGGCCCUCAGGGUUGUAAACGGCUUUUAUUCGGGAAGAAGAGCGAGGAUGCGUCCUUGUGUGACGGUACCGAAUGAAUAAGCACCGGCUAACUCCGUG